rnacentral:lncRNA from 1 species
UUUAAUAUAAAUUUAGUACAGCAAUAUUUAUUGUACUGAUACUUUCAACAUCAAACAAAACUAAUAACAAAUAAGAUUUAUUCUACAUGAUAUUUUUUGAUUUUUUUUUUUAAAUAAAACAAGUAAUUUCUACAAUAUUUGAAGGCAAACGUAGAAAUUAUUUUUGACGGUUACUAAAAUUUUAUGAUCGCACCGCAAGAGACUAAGGGACAAUGAAUCACCGCUUGUUUUGUUGUUUUCUUAAAAGAUUUUAUUUUCAUCGAUUAAAUUAAUGUUUUAAAA